rnacentral:rRNA from 1 species
AGUCAGCGGUAGGCCUUUCGGGGUACACGAGCGGCGAACGGGUGAGUAACACGUGGGUGAUCUGCCCUGCACUUCGGGAUAAGCCUGGGAAACUGGGUCUAAUACCGGAUAUGACUUCAGGUUGCAUGACUUGGGGUGGAAAGAUUUAUCGGUGCAGGAUGGGCCCGCGGCCUAUCAGCUUGUUGGUGGGGUAAUGGCCUACCAAGGCGACGACGGGUAGCCGACCUGAGAGGGUGACCGGCCACACUGGGACUGAGACACGGCCCAGACUCCUACGGGAGGCAGCAGUGGGGAAUAUUGCACAAUGGGCGAAAGCCUGAUGCAGCGACGCCGCGUGAGGGAUGACGGCCUUCGGGUUGUAAACCUCUUUCAGCAGGGACGAAGCGCAAGUGACGGUACCUGCAGAAGAAGCACCGGCUAACUACGUGCCAGCAGCCGCGGUAAUACGUAGGGUGCAAGCGUUGUCCGGAAUUACUGGGCGUAAAGAGUUCGUAGGCGGUUUGUCGCGUCGUUUGUGAAAACCAGCAGCUCAACUGCUGGCUUGCAGGCGAUACGGGCAGACUUGAGUACUGCAGGGGAGACUGGAAUUCCUGGUGUAGCGGUGAAAUGCGCAGAUAUCAGGAGGAACACCGGUGGCGAAGGCGGGUCUCUGGGCAGUAACUGACGCUGAGGAACGAAAGCGUGGGUAGCGAACAGGAUUAGAUACCCUGGU